rnacentral:rRNA from 1 species
GACGAACGCUGGCGGCGUGCUUAACACAUGCAAGUCGAACGAUGAAGCCUAGCUUGCUAGGUGGAUUAGUGGCGAACGGGUGAGUAAUACGUGAGUAACCUACCUUUAACUCUGGGAUAAGCCUGGGAAACUGGGUCUAAUACCGGAUACGACCGAUCUCCGCAUGGGGUGUUGGUGGAAAGCGUUAUGUAGUGGUUAUAGAUGGGCUCACGGCCUAUCAGCUUGUUGGUGAGGUAACGGCUCACCAAGGCGACGACGGGUAGCCGGCCUGAGAGGGUGACCGGCCACACUGGGACUGAGACACGGCCCAAACUCCUACGGGAGGCAGCAGUGGGGAAUAUUGCACAAUGGGGGGAACCCUGAUGCAGCGACGCCGCGUGAGCGAAGAAGGUUUUCGAAUCGUAAAGCUCUGUCCUAUGAGAAGAUAAUGACGGUAUCAUAGGAGGAAGCCCCGGCUAAAUACGUGCCAGCAGCCGCGGUAAUACGUAUGGGGCGAGCGUUGUCCGGAAUUAUUGGGCGUAAAGGGUACGUAGGCGGUUUUUUAAGUCAGGUGUGAAAGCGUGAGGCUUAACCUCAUUAAGCACUUGAAACUGGAAGACUUGAGUGAAGGAGAGGAAAGUGGAAUUCCUAGUGUAGCGGUGAAAUGCGUAGAUAUUAGGAGGAAUACCGGUGGCGAAGGCGACUUUCUGGACUUUUACUGACGCUCAGGUACGAAAGCGUGGGGAGCAAACAGG